GUGUUUUCAUGCGAAUGCACCCAUAAACCCAAGACAGGUGGUGGAGAUAAAGGAUGGCGCAUGAGUGACACGAGCAGAUUGGAAUGAUUGGAUCCGAGCAGCAUCAAACUUUGCUUAACUUUCGGCGGGAAAACAAACAGCUUCUCUCCACUCAUUUCUGGGUCAGUCGGAGAACGUGUGCGUUCUGAGGAGAAAAGUGCUCAGUGUUGCAGAGAAGCAGACGAGAUGCGACGAUCCAGCUCCCACCAGCAGACGUUAGCUUAGCUUAGCACAAAGCCUGAAAUCUGCCUAACGGCAGGUCACUGCCUCUCUACACAACGUUAUAUCUCAUUAAUCCCUGAAGCUCAAAAUGUAAAAAUGAUGUUAUUGUUUCAUGCUCGGCAGGCCAGAGUUAAGUCCUUCACACACAACUGGAAUGGAAGUUUCUCCUUGUUUGUAGGACGACAUAAGCUAAAUAUAACUGAAGUAACUGAAGCUAA